CGUGCACUGGUGGGGUCCCUCGGCCUGGCCUGCACCCUCUCGCAAUCCAGUUUCAGCCCAAUCCUGCAGGCCAGGCCGAGGGACCUCACUGGUGCAUG
rnacentral:pre_miRNA from 1 species